rnacentral:rRNA from 1 species
CCUACGGGAGGCAGCAGUGGGGAAUAUUGCACAAUGGGGGAAACCCUGAUGCAGCGACGCCGCGUGAGUGAAGAAGUAUUUCGGUACGUAAAGCUCUAUCAGCAGGGAAGAAAAUGACGGUACCUGACUAAGAAGCCCCGGCUCACUACGUGCCAGCAGCCGCGGUAAUACGUAGGGGGCAAGCGUUAUCCGGAUUUACUGGGUGUAAAGGGAGCGUAGGCGGCAGCGCAAGGCUGAAGGGAAAUCCCAGGGCUUAACCAUGGAACUGCUUUGGAAACUGUGCAGCUGGAGUGCAGGAGAGGUAAGCGGAAUUCGUGGUGUAGCGGUGAAAUGCAUAGAUAUUAGGAGGAACACCGGUGGCGAAGGCAGCUUACUGGAGUGUAACUGACGUUGAGGCUCGAAAGCGUGGGGAGCGAACAGGAUUAGAUAUCCUUGUAGUC